rnacentral:lncRNA from 1 species
AGCCAUCAUCUCUCCACACAGGCAGGAGCCCUGAGAAAAGGAAAGGACGGCCUGUUACGGCCGUUUCCCAGAUCCCGUCCACGUGUCAGGUCCCUCAUUACCGCCUCUCACCAUCCCGCUUUCCAGAUGAGGACCAGCCCCAGGUCAGUAAAUGGCUAGACCCUUAUUCAGCAAGAGUGGCCUGAGGCUCUGGAGGGGUGGGAGGGGCCGAGGGGAAAGGCUCCUGGAGAUGGAGCCCAGGACCCAGCAGCAGCAACAGGAAUAAUAAGGCUAUUACCAUAAGGGAAGUGCAGCAGCCAUUGCAGCUCGUCCCUUCCCUGCUCUGUGACCUUGGAGCACAAUCUUAACUUUCCUGAGCCUCAAUUUUGUCAUCUGAAAAAUAAGGUCAGUUAUCACCCAACCAGGGGUCAAGAGGGAUAAUAGUGAAGGACAUGCAGGUCCUCGUGGCAACAUCCAUGACUGCGGUUGUCAUGCCUCCCAAGCUGGCUUCUUGGCUCCCCUCAAAUCCUGCCGGCAAGUCCCCGAUCUGGGCAUUGGAGACAUAACAGGGCACAAAAGAGACAAAAGCCCCUGUUCUUGUGCAGCUGAUCUUCUUGUGCAGGAGACAGACAACAAAAAUGGAGAUGCGUAAACUUCAGAGGAGGCAGUUUCAGGCAGAGGUCAAGCUCUAGGACAUGUUCCUCUCACAGUGGGGAGACUCGGGGCUGGAGUCUGAUGCCAGGAACGGCUUGCUGGAGAGCCCCAGAGUUUGGAGCAUGGUGGGCGCUCAGCCACCCCAGGAGCCAGAGAAUCCCCGCUUUGAGAAGCCUGCAGGCCCCAGAAACAGAUGGCUGUGUGGACUCCUGCUGCCCUCAGGGCCAUGCUGUGAGCCUCAGGUGAAUUUCCUCCCCCUCUCUGAGGACCCCUGAGGUUCUGGGGUUCGAGGUAGCUCACCCUGCCGGAAAUCCAGGAAGGCUGCCACCAUUUCCCAGAGGCUGCUCUGUGGGCACAAAGAUCUGGGGCCCGUCCUCUGACACCUGAGGUCCUCCACAUCCCCUUCUGUGAAAUGGGAACAAGAAUCCUCCCCCGACCACCGGCCUAGGGGCUGCACUGGGGGAAAUGAAAGCCCAGUUCCCCGAAACCGUGGGAGCCUGUCACAUCAUUGCACCUCGCUGAGCCUCAGUUUACCCAAAUACUCAGUGAGAUUGGACCCGUGGCUUCUCUGCCCCUCUGGCCUGUCACCCUGAGCCAGGAUGAGCGCACCCCGCCCAGGCGGGGAGAAGGCCUGGAUGACAGGGGAGGCGAGGCCCAGCCCAAGCCCAAAAUAGCGCAGGAUGGCAGGAUGAUGGAGGCAGUGCCGGGCAGCGGCUGGGUGGGUAAUUGAUUGCCCUGUGCCGGCCAUGAAUAAAACAUCGGCCUCUGCUCCAUCCGGGUUCAUUAUUUGCUGGGGGGACAGGCCUC